AAUACAUGCAAGUCGAACGAGAUGCUUUUGUAGCAAUACGAGAGUAUUCUAGUGGCGAACGGGUGAGUAACGCGUUGGUGACCUACCCCAAAGUGUGGGAUAACAGUCCGAAAGGAUUGCUAAUACCGCAUGUGGUCUUCGGAUUUAGAAACCGAUGACUAAAGGAGCAAUUCGCUUUGGGAGGGACCUGCGUCCCAUCAGCUAGUUGGUGAGGUAAUGGCUCACCAAGGCGACGACGGGUAGGGGACCUGAGAGGGUGACCCCCCACAAUGGAACUGAAACACGGUCCAUACACCUACGGGUGGCAGCAGUAGGGAAUAUUGCUCAAUGGGCGAAAGCCUGAAGCAGCAACGCCGCGUGUGCGAUGAAGGCCUUCGGGUCGUAAAGCACUUUUCUGAGAGAUGAGAAAGGACAGUAUCUCAGGAAUAAGUCUCGGCUAACUACGUGCCAGCAGCCGCGGUAAAACGUAGGAGGCAAGCGUUAUCCGGAUUCACUGGGCGUAAAGCGCGUGCAGGCGGUGCGGUAAGUUGGGCGUGAAAUCUCCCGGCUCAACUGGGAGAGGUCGUCCAAUACUACCGUACUUGAGAGCAGAAGAGGAAAAUGGAAUUCCCGGUGUAGUGGUGAAAUGCGUAGAUAUCGGGAGGAACACCAGUGGCGAAGGCGAUUUUCUGGUCUGUUUCUGACGCUCAGACGCGACAGCUAGGGUAGUAAACGGGAUUAGAGACCCCGGUAAUCCUAGCCGUAAACGAUGUGAACUUGGCGUUGGUGGGUUAAACUCCAUCAGUGCCGCAGCAAACGCGAUA
rnacentral:rRNA from 1 species